rnacentral:rRNA from 1 species
AGGGUUCGAUUCUGGCUCAGGAUGAACGCUGGCGGUGUGCUUAACACAUGCAAGUCGAACGGAGUUUUAAACGGAAGUCCUCGGAUGGAAGUUUAGAAACUUAGUGGCGGACGGGUGAGUAACGCGUGGGUAACCUGCCUCAUACAGGGGGAUAACAGUCGGAAACGAUUGCUAAAACCGCAUAACAUAGCGAAACCGCAUGAUUUUGCUAUCAAAUAUUUAUAGGUAUGAGAUGGGCCCGCGUCUGAUUAGCUAGUUGGUGGGGUAAUGGCCUACCAAGGCGACGAUCAGUAGCCGGCUUGAGAGAGUGACCGGCCACAUUGGGACUGAGACACGGCCCAAACUCCUACGGGAGGCAGCAGUGGGGAAUAUUGGACAAUGGGGGAAACCCUGAUCCAGCCGACGCCGCGUGAGUGAAGAAGUAUUUCGGUAUGUAAAGCUCUAUCAGCAGGGAAGAUAAUGACAGUACCUGACUAAGAAGCCCCGGCUAACUACGUGCCAGCCGCCGC